GACGAACGCUGGCGGCGCGCUUAACACAUGCAAGUCGAGCGAGAACCAGGGCUUCGGCCCUGGGGACAGCGGCGAACGGGUGAGUAACACGUGGAUAACCUGUCCUCGGCACCGGGAUAGCCCGGGGAAACCCGGAUUAAUACCGGAUGGCCCGUCCGGCUCUCGAGCCGGCCGGAAAAGGUAGCUUCGGUCUCCGGUCGGGGACGAGCCCGCGGCGGAUUAUCUUGUUGGUGAGGGAACGGCUCACCAAGGCGACGAUCCGUAGCUGGUCUGAGAGGACGAUCAGCCACACUGGGACUGAGACACGGCCCCGACUCCUACGGGAGGCAGCAGUGGGGAAUCUUGCGCUAAUGCGGGAAACCGUGACGCAGCGACGCCGCGUGAGGGAAGAAGGCCUUCGGGUUGUAAACCUCUUUCAGGAGGGACGAAGCUACUCGGGUGUAUAGCCCAGAGGGUGACGGUACCUCCAGAAGAAGCCCCGGCUAACUACGUGCCAGCCGCCGCCGUAA
rnacentral:rRNA from 1 species